rnacentral:rRNA from 1 species
UAGGGAAUCUUCGGCAAUGGACGGAAGUCUGACCGAGCAACGCCGCGUGAGUGAAGAAGGUUUUCGGAUCGUAAAGCUCUGUUGUAAGAGAAGAACGAGUAUGAGAGUGGAAAGUUCACACUGUGACGGUAUCUUACCAGAAAGGGACGGCUAACUACGUGCCAGCAGCCGCGGUAAUACGUAGGUCCCGAGCGUUGUCCGGAUUUAUUGGGCGUAAAGCGAGCGCAGGCGGUUAGAUAAGUCUGAAGUUAAAGGCUGUGGCUUAACCAUAGUACGCUUUGGAAACUGUUUAACUUGAGUGCAAGAGGGGAGAGUGGAAUUCCAUGUGUAGCGGUGAAAUGCGUAGAUAUAUGGAGGAACACCGGUGGCGAAAGCGGCUCUCUGGCUUGUAACUGACGCUGAGGCUCGAAAGCGUGGGGAGCAAACAGGAUUAGAUACCCUGGUAGUCCACGCUGUAAACGAUGAGUGCUAGGUGUUAGACCCUUUCCGGGGUUUAGUGCCGUAGCUAACGCAUUAAGCACUCCGCCUGGGGAGUACGACCGCAAGGUUG